rnacentral:rRNA from 1 species
UACGAAGGGGGAGAGCGUUGUUCGGAAUUACUGGGCGUAAAGGGCGUGUAGGCGGUUUAUUAAGUCGGGCGUGAAAGCCCAGGGCUCAACCCUGGAACUGCGCCCGAGACUGGUAAGCUUGAGUUCGGAAGAGGGGCGUGGAAUUCCCAGUGGAGAGGUGAAAUUCGUAGAGAUUGGGAAGAACACCAGCGGCGCAGGCGGCGCACUGGUCCGAUUCUGACGCUGAGGCGCGACAGCGUGGGGAGCAAACAGG